rnacentral:lncRNA from 1 species
GAGUAGGAAUAUGUUCUGUUCUGUUCGUCUUUUCUUUUUUUCUCGACGCAGAUACACUGUACAUUAGUAUAUUGGUGGAGCUCAAAAGAAAGUUGUAUGUAUUUGGUAGAGAGAGUUGUGCCAAAACGAGCAGGUUCUUCGCAAGAGGCAGUCGUUUUCUUCUCCAGAAACCACUCCACUUGUCCAUCAGGACUUCUUCGUCUGCUGGUUGACCAAAACCCAAGAACAAUUGACGUCUUUCAAAGGUAUAGACUGAGUUUUUUGCUACUGGAUUUCGAUUUUGAAUAACUUCACUGGUGAAAGCUGCAUUCCCCGAAUAACUUUUCUCGAAUUAUAUGGUUCAGGGUCCAGCUCGGUUACCAAUAAUUUCUACUUUUUUCAAACGAAUAAUAAUUUUGUAACUGGUUUUUUCACCCAAGUAGCAGGAGAAGAAAGAACUCUCAUUGUUGGACGAUAAGUUCUGCAAGAGCGUCUCUUAUUUUGGGUUACCUCUUAUUAACUGUGCUGUGUGGCUGUUCGGAUUUCAUUUCUGUUUAUGUCAUCCCUACUGCAAUUAAACCAUGGUUUAUUUUUGUAAGGUCAAACACACAGUGACUGAAAAUGGUCGACUUGAAAGGAUCACCGGAUCUCCAUGGAUAUAAGAUGCCUGCCGAGUGGGAGCCUCAUUCUCAAACUUGGAUGGGUUGGCCUGUAAGUUUGUUGUUCUGCCUCCUUUUUAUUAUUUUGCUCCUUUAUCCUUGCUUUCAAAUUUGAAUUCUUGCUCUCAUAGAUAGAACAAUGUAAUUGAAUGGUACUGAUUUCUCCCUGUAUGUCUUAUAUAUGGGAUUAAAGGUAGUUGGUUGUUCAUGUUGUGCUUAACCUUUGGCUAAAACUUUUGAGUGGCCCGUUCUGAAGCUGUGCCUACCUAGCAUCUGAUGGGUGUCUGUUUCUAAUUCUCUGCACAUCGUUCAUUGUUUAUUGAAAGGAUUAAUUCAUCAAUAUGUGCUUGGUUGGGAGGAUCCACAUCCAGAAUGAUAUGAUACACCUGAAUUUCUUUAGGGAAAUUCUAAACCGUAUAUUCUGGACUUCAUGUGCAGCAUUCUUUUCCUAUCAUUUCCCAAAGGGUUUCAAUGAAUCAAAACCGUUGUGUAAUUGCAGGAGCGGCCAGAUAACUGGCGGGAUGCUGCUGCGCAUGGUCAACAUACUUUCACCAAGGUCGCAAUUGCUAUUUCAAAGUUCGAACCAGUGACUGUUUGUGCAAGUGCUGCACAGGUUUGUUGAGAUUUAGUUGUUUAAAGCCUCUGUCGCUCGUCACAGAAUCUGGUAGUUAUUCUACUGAAUUGAAUUUGAAUUACCUCCAUGUUUAGUGGGAGAAUGCUAGGACUCAGCUCCCAGAACACAUUCGAGUCGUUGAGAUGAGCAUGAAUGACAGCUGGUUUCGUGAUAGUGGUCCAACAGUGAGUCUAUCCUUUCAUAUGGACCUAUAAUGGGGCAGAUAAAUUUGUCAAUUGAACAAUUUCUUAAGGUCCUUGCUCGUGUUGUAGUUUGUCAUAAGGAAGAGCGUUUCGGGCUCCAACAUUUCGGAGCAAGAGAUUGCAGGCAUCGACUGGAACUUCAAUAGUUGGGGAGGUAAAUCACUUAAAUCUGUGUGACUACUGGAUAUAAAAUACAAUGUAUGCACCAUAUGGCUGCAACAGUUAACUCGUGAUUUUACUAUUGGUCUUCAUAGCUUUACUAGAAUCCUUGUAUAAAAUGUCUUUUCCCUUAUAUUUGCAGGAGUUGACGAGGGUUGUUACCAAGAUUGGAGUCUGGACACUGCUGUCGCAUCAAAGGUAGAAGACAAAAUGCGAUAGACCUUAAACUUGGAUUCUCGAAAAUGAGAUAAAACUCCUAAGAAGUUGAAUUCUAGAUUUGUUAUACCUUUGUGUUCACUUGUGACUGGUGUCUAUUGUAAUUUGAUGGUAGAUUCUUGAAAUUGAGAGGUGCCCAAGGUUUCGCCAUACUAUGAUUCUUGAAGGUGGAAGCAUCCAUGUCGAUGGAGAAGGUUAAAUCUUUUCUACCUUAUUUUCUUAAAAGCACUCUCGUUUUUUGGCUCUUGCUAAUAAUGUAAACAACUGCAAUAACCGAAAUACAUUGGUAAACAAAUGUAUAUGCUAAGAAAUAAAAUUUGGACAAAGAAGUGCUUCCAUGAGUAGUAAUGGUGCAGAAAGAUGUUUGAUUGCGUGAAUACUGAAUUUUAUAGGGAUAGACCUUUUGAAUUGUGUAGUGCAAGUUUAUGUUAUGCUGAUGUGACGUCUGUUUUGUGAUGAAUCUCAACAUCGUUAAGCCACCCGUGUGAUCUGUUCUCUAGCAAAUUUUGUCUUCUCAAAUAACCAAUUUCUGCAUCUUAGAUCCACCAUGAUAUGGCUAUAGUUUAAUAUGAGCAAUUUUGUUGGCUUUCAAAUUUAUUUCACAUUGUUCCUAUCUAAAAUAUUGAUUUCAUAGUUUUUGCUGUGUACAAACAGGAACAUGCCUUACCACUGAGGAAUGCCUCUUAAACAAGAACAGGAAUCCUCAUCUUACAAAGGAACAAAUAGAAGAUGAACUGAAGAAGUAUCUAGGAGUUCGUACGAUUAUUUGGUUGCCUCGUGGAUUAUAUGGUACUUUCCACUCUGUUAACAGUUGAUUUUUGCUAUAUACCUGGAUGAUCCUCUUUUACGCUUCAUAGUUUCAGGGAUUGGUAUUAUUGAAGUUUGUCUACCUCAUAUAAACAACAACCAUAAGUGUGAACCAAAUUCAUGAAGUGUUUUUGACUUUGAAUUUAACAGGGGAUGAUGACACAAAUGGUCAUAUUGACAAUAUGUGCUGCUUUGCAAGACCGGGCGUGGUUUUGUUGUCUUGGACCGAUGAUGAAAAGGAUCCUCAUUAUGAAAGAGCAGUAGAAGCCUUUUCUGCUCUGUCUAGUGCAACUGAUGCUAAUGGCAGGAAGCUAGAGAUUGUCAAGCUUCAUGUACCAGGACCGCUUUACAUGACAGAAGAAGAAGGAAAUGGGUUUGCUCAAGUAAGAAAACAAGAAAUUUGGGUUUUAACACUUCAUUCUCUUGUGAAGACAUCCAGGUUUGCUGUUUACAUACUCAAAAGUUGUAACGUUUUGUGAACAGGACGGUGAUGGUAAAUCAAGAGUUUCAGGUACAAGACUUGCUGCUUCUUAUGUGAACUUCUAUUUCGCGAAUGGAGGGAUAAUCGUACCGCAAUUUGGUGACAAAAAAUGGGACGAUGAAGCAAUUCGAGUCCUCUCUCUCGCCUUCCCAAAUCAUGAAGUAAGCAAUUGUUUCUAUCCUUUCUUGUUUUAUGGAUAAGUGUAUGAUCAAGUGAAUUUCGAACAAGUAAGCCAAUGUUUCUUCCGUUUGCCCUCGACAUGCUAAUUUGAACGUUUGGUUAUCUCAGGUGGUUGGAAUCGAAGGCGCAAGGGAGAUAGUUCUGGGUGGUGGAAACAUACAUUGCAUCACCCAGCAACAACCAGUAAGUUUUCCUGGUGAUAAAGCUUAAGUAAAAGCCUUCUAAAGUUGGAAGGGGGCAGCUAUUUGGAAGUGACCUCUGUUAUGUUUUUGUACUCUUUCACAAAGCUUCUUUCCAGCCAGCUUUCAUACUAGUCGAUAUGUAUUUGAAAUUUCAAAUACGAAGUUUAUAUAUUUAGUAUUUACAUCUAAAUUAAAAUGUGUUGGAUUUGAUUCCGAUACAUCCUUUGAACAAGAUACUCCAUUAAUUUCAAGUACAUUUGGAAACAUAGUAAUUUCAAAAUCCACGGUAAACCAUUUUUUUAUGUUACACUUUAAACUCAAACCAUCUAUUACUAUUAAAUUUUGUCGCAAUUUGUUGUAAAGGGUAUUAUUUUGUUAUGGUAUGAAACUCAAGUAUUAUAAUAUAACUUUUUUAUUUCAUUUAGAGUUUGGAUUUUUCAUGUAAUUGAUUUUCUAAGCAAAAAAAACACACCUAUCAACUAACAUUUCGUGGCUCUGCCACUAUGAUCGACUAAGUGGAUAGUAGUGGAAGUCUUUGGCAAUGACAAUAUAGAUAAGAGUGCGUUUUGACCAUAAGUUUUUUGAGCACUUUGUAUAAAAAAAACACAUAAUAUAAUAUAGAAAAAAGAAUUAUUGUUAUCGAAAUAUCAGUGUCGCAUUACCCGUACAAAUGAGGAGGCAGGCGGGGAGAUAAGAUAACUUCAAGAGGAGAAGCUGGAGGAUUAGUCAGUCCGAUACUCUCUGUCAUGUUGACAAGUUGCAUAGAUAUUCUCUUAAAGUCAAAUUCAUGUAGAAGUCUAGCCAGCGUCAAAUGCAUGAUCUGGAGGGCAAAGUUUACUGCCGGACACAUCCUUCGCCCGCUUCCGAAUGGCAUCAACUCCAAGUUUUUACCCUUGAGGUCAACGUCUUUAUGUGUCGAGAGGAACCGAUCCGGUUCAAACUUGUCUGCUUCGAACCAAACCCUUUGGUCGCGCUGGAUUUUAGAUAUGUUGAUUAUUAGUCUAGUCCCUUUUCGGACCAGACAAUCACCGACUGUGCAAUCUUCAAUGGCUUGGUGGGGUACGGCAAGAGGACCAGGUGGGUACAAGCGGAGGGUUUCUUUGACGAUUGCAUUCAGGUAAACUAAGUUGUCGAGAUCUGACUCUUGAACUUGUCUUUGGUCAUCUAUGUUGUUGACCAGUUCAAUUUGGGCUUUAUGCAAUAGGUCGGGAUGGUUCACGAGUAAUGCAAGCAACCAGGUCAUCGUCAUUGUUAUUGUGUCUGCACCCGCUAGGAUAAGACUCUGUACGAUAGUAUAACAAUCAAGAACAAAAACUUUGUUAUUCUGAAAAUGGAUUAUCCAAGAAAAAUUUAAAGUAAAUUACCAGAGAAGUAGUUUUGUUAACGGUGUCAGAAUCUAUAUCCAAUAUGCCAUGCCGCCUUCAUCCCCUACAAGAUUCAGAAUAACGUCCAUGAAGUCGUCUUCCACCUUGACCCCGCCGUUGGAAUCUCUUUUUGCCUUAUGCUCCUUCAGCCACACUCCCAUCAUAACGUCCAUCUCCUCCCGUGUCUUCCUCAUCGCCUUCUCGAACCCUCCCACGUCCAACCACCUCAGAUAAGGUAUACCGUCCGCCACCACGAACCUUCCGGCAAGUUCAAAGAAACUAUUCAACACUUUCUUCAUUCUAACGCCGUCUUCUCCUCGCUUCAAAUACCCUAUAGAUGCCCCUACGAUCAUCUCCAGUAUAACGUUCAACGCAAUGUCCCCGAACCAGGUGGUCAUGUCCACCAGAACGACACUGUUUCCCUGGCGUGUUUGAGCAAAUUUAUGCGGUGAGAGGAAAGGAGCUCCAACGUGGCAAUCUUCCGGAUUUCUCGCCAGUAGGGCCCGUAUGGGCUGAACGGGAAGAUGGGUCGUUGGUAACCGAGUAUAUCCGUGGCUAUGGUUUUGGGUCUGUCCGCGAACGCACGGUCGUGUGUGGUCAAGCACUCCUUGGCCAUUUCCCAAUUGCUGACUACCACAGCCGGGUGGGCGCCCAUUCGGAUGGUGAAUAAUGGGCCGUAUUUGUCUGCCAUCUGCCCCAAUACUAUGUGCGCUGGCCGUUGUCCGCCUAGAACUGGAGCGGUGCUUUGUUUUUGUUAUUGCCGACGGCUGAGCUCGAUGGUCGGAAGAGGAAAAUGAGGGAGGCUACUAUGAGGAUCGAGAAUGACGGUAGUAAAGUCAUGAAAUCCAUUAUUGGCUACGAAUUUGAUUGAAGUGCUAGAGCCUAGCUAGGGGCCUCUACUUUUAAACGGCUAGCUCGGUCGGCUAAUGGCCUUUUGUGUUAGGUUCGAAAUAAUUACAACUUUUGGCCAACUCUCGUGGGUUUGCGUUAGUUUUCAAUUAAUGUACUAUGAAUGUGUGUAAUAUUUAUCUUCAAUAUAAAAUUUGUUGGCAUUUUAAAUCGAUUAUUAAUGCAUGAUUAUAAAAUAUGACAUAAUUUAUAUUUUGGCCUUGUGAGCAGUUUGUUAUAGAUAAAAUAUUAAUUACAAUGGAUUAGGAUACAUGCUUUUAUAAUCAACUAAUAAAAUAUCUCAAUCAAUACAAUUAAGUGUUAUUUCGAACAAAUAAUUAAUGUUUCUUUAAUUUGCUUGUGAGAUGCUAAUUUUGAAAGUUUGGGCAUGUCAGGUGGUUGGAAUCCGAGUAGCAGCAGCUUGCAAUGAGACCAUAGUAAUGCUCCUCUUUCACAAAGCCAAUGUCUUCAUAAUCAUUUGUGAUUUGUUGUUGAUGUAAUUUGUGUAUUUGGAAUUGUAAUUACGAAUUUUAUAUAUUUACAUACAAAUUAUAAAUUAGAUUAUUGCCGGCCCAUUGGUCGGAGCCCGGGUGAGUUAAGAUGUUCAUAAUUCGCACCCUGCACACAACGAUUUAUUUUUGUUUAAUUUAUACUAAAAUAUAUCACUAACUCAAAUUUUUUUCAUUUGAUUGGUUUUGGGUUGGACGAAUAGUGAUGUAAUAUCAUUGCCAUAUCUUAAAUAGGUUUUGAAUUUUAAUUUUAUCCAUUGCUUUUUUAUUGAAAAAUUAUCAUUGUCAUCUCUUAAAUAUGCGACACUUAAUGAACAAUGAUACAACUCAUAUUAAAGGUAAACGCUCAAUUACUUUUGAAGUAUCGAUAUAACCCAUAUGUAUAAUCUAAUAAACGCCUCGUAGGAUGUCAUAUAGGCAGAGUAUCGGUAUUUCAAGAAUACCGAAGCGUUGACCCUUAAUAUUGAUUGUAUUAUUGUUUGUAUCUUACGUCAGAUAUAAAUUCUUGAUAUUAUCAUAUGAGCAAGAUCAAUAUAAUAGUGUGGGUGGGGUCACUAUCAACUACCAAGUCAAACCGAAUCCAUUCAGAACACUCACUUACUCUCUAAAUAAACCCGAAGCAGUGUCUCAUCUAAUAUAAAGCAGCCACCUCCAGCAUUAGGAUUCAUAUCAAAACAACCCUCUACGUAAGAAGAGUUCGUUCCCUGUAAUCCAUCGAUUUCCAAUGAUCUAAAUAGGGAAUGGGAGGAAGAUGAGACACAACAGAACAACAUAGCCAAUUGGUUGGCUCUUCGAUCAAUCGAUGUCUCCUCUUCCUCUCUUUCCCUACUUCGAUCUUGGAUCGAUUCUUCUACUGCAGAACCAAAAGUUGCUAUGUCGAUUGGUAUCAAUAGUGGUUUCAUCCUUGAUCACUCUUCUUUCUUCUCGGACUACCGACGGUACGUACUUAAUUUGUUUAAACACGUAUGUGUUUGAAACUUAAAGAAUAUUUACAGACGCUUUAUAUAUGAUUUGAUUCUUCGUUGGAUUAUCGGACUUGUACAUGCAUGUAUAGUGAACAUAUAAGAACAAGUUGCAUGAAUUCAUUCUAGGCGUCUGUAAUUCAACGUAUGGUUCGCACGUCUUCAGGUACGUUCUUGUUUCGUUUUAGUAGCAAGAAGCAGAGAAAGAUCAAACUGUCUUGGCUUUCUUGGAUUCCAUUCCAUGCAUGGUUUCGUGCAACUCUAUGAUGAAUUUUGUUGAUAUAUAUAUGUUCACUGAUUAACUAACGCCCACUGUUUAUCUGAAUUACUACACUGCUGGGUGGUGGCGGCCGAGGAACAAUCGGAACGGAGGAGGAAGAUGGGAAAUUUUUAGUUUGGUCACUGGAAUAUUUCAGUAGCUACGGACCAGUUAGUCAGCCUUUUCCAGUAACAUAUUUGGUCACUCCAGUAUCAAACGAGUUUAGAUUAGGACACCGUUACGUCCACAACUUUUAGAACUUGUAUCUCAUAAUAAGUAGUUAUACGAUAAAAAACUUUGGAUUUGGGAUCCGUAAUUUUAUUAACCAAACUCAAAUAACUCACAAAGUUUGUUGAAUUCGUCUGUAAUUAGGUAUAUAAGAACGUUAUAACUAGUUAUUAGAAUAUUGUAACUGAUAGUAACUAGUUAUAAACGAUUCAUAUAACCAGAUCAGAUAAUUCAUCCUGUAACUAGACGUAAAUGUUAAUAACUAGGUAUACUAAGGUGGUCGGAUUUUUGGUAGUGCCUUGACGACAACUAUAACUAGUUAUCGAGUUACACGCACCCGCGACUACUUUGAGUGCAUAUAACCAGUUAUAGACAUUUGUAAAAAACUUGUUAUAUUAUAUAGUUAAUUAUGAAAAAAUGACCGAAAGUUCAUUAAAGUUUUAGUGUAAAAAUUAUAAAUGAUUAUAAUCUGUGAAUAUGUAAUUUUAUAGACAAAACUUUUUAUAUAGAUUUGUCAAAAAAAUCAAUAAAGGGUCGCUGAAAAGGUUACGGAAAAUCAUCGGAAAAUUCUGAGUUACGGAAAGUCAUCGGAAAAUUCGUCGGAAAAUUAUGGUGGUGGGUGCUGGAAGUUGCCGGAAAAAGAUAAUGAUACAUUGUCAUUCUCGAACUCUUAAGAAAGGUUUUACUCGAAUCCAGUUCCGUUGUCAUGGGCCAUGGCUUACUUACAUAAUUAGUGAGCUCUGACUCGAACUCGAGUCCAAAAUCUUGCCCAAUAUUUAAAUCGGAACAAAACAAAAAUACGAAACCACUCUCCCUUUCACCGUCGUCACCAACCCCCACUUCCACUGACUGUUGAUUCUGCCACCAUUUCCCACCAACCAAGGAAACCUUAACCUUCACCACCCUCAACGUGCGUACCUACAACAACAUCACACCGUGGCUCUUGACAGCAAAAGCCUAGCAGCGACCUAGACGUCCAACGGCAGAGAUCCGUUCUAGAGCGGUAAUGGCGUCCAUGGCUCUUCGCAGGCUCUCCUACUCUCCCAUCAGACCUUACUGCAAUGGCGGUUCCCUGUAUUCCAUGGUUAGCUCCUUGUUCGUUAUUGCAAUUCGUCUUAAUUUGAUUCUUUCUGGUUAUGAAAGUUCGUUCUGAUCUGUUUCUGCAGUCUUCCUUGCCUAAUCAGGCAGUUUCCGACAAAGACUCUGCUCGCGCCACCGUGAGCCUCUACCUUCUUGCGAUCCAUUUGUUUCUUUUUCUUUUGUGAUUUCUCUUUACCGUGUUCUAUCUGUCGUUCUCAGUGGAUAAAGCAAUUGAAUGCACCGCUGGAGGAAAUCGAUCCGGAAAUAGCUGACAUUAUUGAGCAUGAGAAAGCCAGACAAUGGAAGGUAUCACGUUCAGUUACAUCAACAAAUGCAUUUGAUCAUUUCUCUCUCUCUAUGAGUUGCUACUGCUGCUGCAAAAUUCAUGUAUUCUGGCCAGAUUUGGGACCAUUUAAGCAAUUGUUGAAUUUGGGAUCUAAAUUUCGACCUGUUUUCAGGGACUUGAACUCAUCCCUUCAGAAAAUUUCACAUCAGUUUCCGUGAUGCAAGCUGUAGGUUCUGUUAUGACCAAUAAAUACAGUGAGGGUUACCCUGGAGCAAGAUACUAUGGUGGAAACGAGUAUGUGGACUACUUGAUGACAUUUUAGCAUUGCAAUAUGUGUAAUUGUUUAUUUCUUUGGUUGAUUAUAUCGUUAUGCAAUGAUUGAGAUCAAUGUUCUGAGCAUUCAUUCCAAAUCACCCAUCACCCGUCUCUACAACUUAUGGCUGGGAUCUUUUUCUUUUGGUUCAUUAGGUACAUUGAUAUGGCUGAGAGAUUGUGCCAAAAGCGUGCUUUAGAAGCCUUUGAGCUGGAUCCUGAAAAAUGGGGAGGUUAGUAAAUUAGUUAGAUCUUUUGAUAACAACUGCUACUAGAUUGGUCAUGUCAUGUCCAUUUCUUGCCUACUCCAUAAUUAUCAGAAUGUACUUUAUAUUAAUAAACCUGUAACCUCCUUGAUUUUAAUAUAAGUAAGUUUUUUUAUUCUGGUUGACCUUGCCAAGUGAUUUCCUGUUGAUGUAUGAAUGAUCAUGGUACAACAUAUAUAUUCCUUCCCCUUUGGGUGAAUCAUAAUUCAGAAGAAAUCUGUAUCAUUAGCUCUAUAGCAGAUGUGAAAAUGUUGAAGCAAUGUACCUAGCGAACUUCAUGGUAGAUUAUAAUCAUCCAAGAGAGUUACUUGCUUACUGCUAUAAGCUAUAAAGAUUGGCUACUAAUUUGGAAUAUAUUGGUGAAGGAUCUCCAUUUACAAACUGAAGAGAAUUUUUUCCAAAUGUUACUUGCCUGGUUGACAUCUCUUGCUGCACACUAACUAUUGCUGUAUUAGAUUAGAAAUAGACGCGUAGACAUUAGUUACCAGAAAAAGAUGGAUUUUUUAACCACGAUAUAAUUUUGCAAUAUGCUUUUACAUAUGUAGUCUUCGUAUGUUGAGCAAUCAUGUAACUAUUUCAUCCACUUCCUCAGUAUGUAAUCACGAGUAACUGACGACAAAAAUUAUUGGUUGACGCCUCUAUUCUUUUCCUGCUGAAUCUAUUGAAGACGUGUUACAUGUGUGCCUUUUGUUUUGCAGUUAAUGUCCAGUCACUAUCUGGGUCUCCAGCCAAUUUUCAAGUUUACACUGCCUUGUUGAAACCGCAUGAGAGAAUCAUGGCAUUGGAUCUACCUCAUGGAGGCCAUCUUUCACAUGGUUAUCAGGUACUUAUAUUCAGUGCCAAGCUUCGGUCAGCGUAGAUAUAUUUGUUUUCUGCUACUGCUCUAUGCAGGUUGAUUGUUCGAUUAUUCUAACAAUUUAUACAAAACCUUGUGAAGCCAAAUGAGGCAUAUAUGACUGACGUUAUUGUUCAUUUUUCCAAAUAUGAUUAAUAUCGUUUACUUAUCCUGUCAUCUUCCAGACUGAUACGAAGAAGAUAUCUGCUGUGUCCAUAUUUUUUGAGACAAUGCCCUAUAGAUUAAACGAGACAACAGGUUAUAUUGACUAUGAUCAGGUACCCUUUUCACUACUGUUCCUAUUAUGUAGUUUCUUUUCUCAACACUAGUAAUGUUUCGCUAGUAUGCUUUUGAAAGAUAUAACAAUACUUGCUAUUUGAGUUUAUGUCAUCGUUCAACAUUGUUGUUGAAAUUGGGGUUGGCGUGGGUACUGAUUUCUUGCAGUUAGAGAAAAGUGCUGCACUCUUUAGACCAAAACUUGUAGUUGCUGGUGCAAGCGCUUAUGCACGUCUUUACGACUAUGCUCGCAUCCGCGAAGUAAGUUACAUAAUCAUAUAGUCCACAGUAAUGAAUAGUCCUGAUAUGUGUUUAAUAUUGGUGGUUUGGGAUGAAUUUGACAGGUCUGCGACAAGCAAAAAGCUAUCUUGUUAGCCGAUAUGGCACACAUUAGUGGGUUGGUAGCAGGUGGUGUCAUCCCAUCUCCUUUCGAAUAUGCUGAUGUUGUGACCACCACAACUCACAAGUCACUUCGUGGUCCUCGUGGAGCUAUGAUAUUCUUCAGGAAAGGGUUAAAAGAAGUUAACAAAAAAGGGCAAGAAGUGAGUUGAAUUUCUAAAUAAAUGAGUGAAUUUCCCUUGUAGAAGUUGAUAUAUUGAAAAAUCGUUUUCAACUGUGUGCUUGUUUAAUUUUUAUCCAAGCCAUUUUAGAUUCUCCAGGAGUGAAAGGAUGGAUAAAAGGCUUUAGAAAGCGCAUCUUCUUAUGAUUUAGCUGCCUCUGCAGGUGAUGUAUGAUUAUGAAGAUAAAAUUAACGCAGCGGUCUUUCCUGGACUUCAAGGAGGUCCACACAAUCACACAAUUACCGCAUUGGCAGUUGCACUGAAGCAGGUUGGUUCCCGGUGCUCCAUCAUUUCAGAUCAUAAUUCAACAUAUAAACCUUUGGACUCGCCUCAAUUGCGUAUUGCUGGUGUGUUAGGUCAAAAGCCCCGAAUAUAAAGCCUACCAAGAGCAAGUCCUCAGUAACAGUUCAAAGUUUGCACAGGUACUUAUGGGUGUCCAGUUGACCCUUUUAAUCCAGUUGUAAUCCUAGUAAUUCUGGCUUAUAAUAUAAACUCUGUGCAGAGCUUGCUAGAUAAAGGUUAUGACAUUGUAUCUGGUGGGACAGAGAACCAUUUAGUCUUGGUGAAUCUGAAAAAUAAGGUUGGUUUUACUUGUGUGUUUGUAAGAGUUGUUUUCAGUGUAGGAUUGUUGUGAGAAAAAUGAUGGUUCCUUCGUUCUUGACAGGGCAUUGAUGGAUCCAGAGUUGAAAAGGUCAUGGAAUCAGUUCAUAUUGCAGCAAAUAAGAACACAGUCCCUGGGGAUGUGUCAGCCAUGGUUCCGGGCGGUGUUCGUAUGGGUAAAAAUCCUGUUCCUUUCCUCACUGACAUCAUCAGUCGUUGAAAAAAGACAGGUUUAGAACUGUUUGUUUGUUGGGCAAUGUAUUUCAGGAACUCCGGCUCUGACAUCAAGGGGCUUCGUUGAGAAAGACUUUGAGAAAGUAGCAGAGUUCUUUGAUGCAGCUGUAAAGUUGGCCUUGAAGAUCAAAGCUGAAUCCAAAGGUCAUUUUUCUAGUUUCGUCAUGUGUGUCUGUUGGAAAGACGUUUUAUCGCCUGGAUAUUAUGUAGAGGUGACAUUGUGUGCUUUGGACUCCAGGACCGAAGCUGAAGGAUUUCAGUGCCGCUCUAACGUCAGAUGCAUUCAAAUCCGAGAUCUCUAACCUGCGCGGAGAUGUUGAGGAGUACGCUAAGCAGUUUCCCACAGUUGGGUUCGAGAAGGAAACAAUGAAAUACAAAGACUAAGAGUCAACAAAUAGAAGAAACAACAACCACAACCAAAAAGUCAGUUUACGAACGAACUUUUUGUAAGAGGUGAAAUCACGACGACGCGCAUUUAAGAAUACCCGAUUUGAGUUAUCCAAACAUAUCGUGGUGAGCUUUUGAGGUGAACAUGAUGAAUAAGUGGAGUCUCCGAUGCCAAAUUAUGUGUAAUAAUUUUAUUUUGCUGAUCAUCCCUCCGAAUAACAUGUUCUUCAAACUCCAGAGUCACUUGGAGUUUGCUCAGCUUGGCAAGGAAUUGCUUCAACUCGUGAAAGUUUACUUGAUCGUAAGAUUAGACAGUGGAAUGCAACGACCGCAACCAGUUGGAAAGCUGUUUCGUUACCCAAUGGUAUCAGGGGAAAACUGUAACCACAUCCAAAUUGAAGGAAACAUUGGUCAAAUUAGGAGCAACAAUUUCAAUCACCGUUCGACCUGGACUACUUCUCUUUGAAUCGAAAGUGAAUUCCCGUAGCUUGUCGCAAUUGAGAAUCCAGAGUUCGUAACCUUCUUCAUAUAUGCAACAAUUCAAGGUAAGUGACUCGAGAGAUGGGACUCCCGAUAUCAACUCGCUAAGUCUUGUGCUUUUCAAUAGCGAAGCAUCUGUAAAAGAGUGAUCAUAUCAUAUAUAUAUAUAUAUAUAUAUAUAUAUAAUCAUGUAAUUUUCACAUAUAUAGAAUAAUAAUACAAGUAACUUUCACAUACCUAUAUUUACUACUUAGAGAUUUGGUGUGGAAGAAAUGUUUAGCUGGCGACCAUACCAGUGAAGGAGCAAGGAGGGAGCGCCCUCGAUCACGAUUUCGUUCAUGGAAACCUCGACUGCUUCGAGUACUUUGAGGUUUGGGUGGUCUUGAACCUGAAGCCUGUGGAUUCCUUCAAUUCUUUGCAGACUGAGCGUCUCUAAAAGAGAGGCGGUGGAAAUCAUACCAUUCAAAUCCAAAAUUCGAAUACAAGUGAGACGGAGAAUCCUUAGGGAGCUUCCAAUCGGCAAAGAUACUAGCAUCUGGCGGCAGGGAGCAAUGCAAAAGUAUUUAAGGUUAUGGCGCUGCAGCAACUUUGGAUUUGGGAAAACUUCUUGGAUGAAGAGACCACAAACUGUUUUAGGGAUUCCUCGGAUAUAGUCAUACAAUGUUGCUUGAAUUCGAGAUACGUAAUUUUUUCUCUCUCGCUAAUGUGCUCUGCUCCGAAAUUUCAGUUUCCGCCGGCGGUUCCGCCUGAGCUCCGACCGCCGGAAUCUUCUUCACGAUCUGAUGAGGCUACGGCCGGAGAACUGAUCCCCAGUCCAGCAUCUGUUGCUGGAGAGCAGUUAGGCAUUCAAAGUAAGAUCUCUUACGCGACAGCUGUUUCCAGAGAUCUGAGGUCCCGUGACCCAUCUCCGGCAUCGACUAUCGUGGUGGGUGAAAAUGAUAUCGCGAUGAGCCGAAAGAAUGGUUUUGGUUAUCUUAACAUUUCAGGGGGGCCUAUGUGCUCGAAUCUGUGCUCCGCUGCAGAAAACGCUUGUUGUUAGUCUCUUGGGAAGAGUGUGGGUAUCCGGUACAUGUACGAUCGACGGAGGGCUAUGUGGCGGCCGGAGGGUAGGAUGACAAUGGUUGAUCUGGAUAAUAAAAAAAAUUUGGUCCCUUUUGAUAAUCUUCAAGACUACGACUUCGCUCUUACAGGUGGUCCUUAGAUAGUUCUUGAACAUUGUUUGAUUUGUCAUGAUUGGGACCCUUCUUUUACGAUGGUUAAGAAUUUGCCUGCUAAAAUGGUGGUUUGGAUUAGAUUUCCAAAACGACCGAUUCAAUAUUAUCAUAAGGAGAUUUUGAAAGGCCUGGGUGAUUUAGUUGGGAAAACGGUUGGAAUUGAUCGGAGAACUCUUGCUGCAGCUAGAGGAAAAUUUGCCCACCUGGCUGUUGAAGUUGAUCUUCGUCAAGUUGUUGCAACAUGGGUUUUUCUCGAUAAUGUCUGGCAAGAAGUAUUAUAUGAAAAUCUUUCUUCUCUAUGCUUUGAGUGUGGCCGAAUAGGUCAUAAGGUCGAGAAUUGUCCUCAUAAUCAAGUUUUGGCUGUUCCUGUUGAUACGGUCUCAUCCCAAGUGAAUUUAGCAGGGUCGGCAGGUUCACCAGAGAGGAUUAUCGCUGGCGAAAAGCAACCGGAGUUCGGCCCCUGGCUCAAUUACCAUAUGAAAUCUUGGAGGCCGAAACAGAAGGAUGUUACGUCGCCUUUUGCGCUAGCAACGGUCAACAAUUAUCAUAAGAAAGGAAAGGAUCUAUUGGGUGUUGGGAAAAGGUAAGACUUGGUGCAGGAAUCGGGUGCCGUGGAUGGAAAAACCUCGCAAUCAAAGGGUGGGAUUUAGCGGUGGAAGGGUCCAAACAGGAUAGUUCAUUUCCUUUGGUUGGCCUACCAAUGUAAAAUUCUCACAAAUGUUGAACGCCGGAGACGACACAUGACAGAUCUUAACGUCUGCUGUGUUUGCAAAAUGGUGCAAGAAGCUACUCUGCAUCUCUUACGUGACUGCCUAAUUGCCAAGUCAACUUGGAAAGCUAUACAUGGGACUAAUAUUUGGCUUUUAUUCUUUUAAUAGGAUUUCCCAACGUGGUUAAUGCAAGGGAUUUCACACACAUAAUUAGCCUUGGAUUUUGGGUUGUGUGUUGGCUCUUAUGGAAGAGUGUUCCGUAAUAUUUAUGUUUCUUGCGAUCAGUUCCGCUUACGUCCUUUACUGGAUCGUCAGGGUUCGGGAGACAAUAAAAGUUGGGGAUAGAGUAUUUUCGAAAAUUACUGGUUGGAAUAGUGCUCCUUUUAUCACCAUCAACACUGAUGGCUGGGUUCUGCAACUUGAGAGUGUGGCGGCCGCGGGGGAAUUGUUCGGGACGAUCAAGGGACGGUCCUUCAUGUUUUGCUGUAAAUUUAGGGAGAUGUACCAUCACUCGGGAGGAAAUUCGAGGAGCGAUUUUUGGUUUGCGUCUCGCUUGGGAUAGGGGCUAUCGGAAGGUUUACCUCCAACUUGAUUCACAAUGUGCGAUUUCAGGGUUGUUGGGGGAGCCUCCAAACGAUUUUCGGCAUCUUUCUUGCAUCCUUGAAGCAAAACAGCUUAUUGACAGCGAUUGGGAUGUGUGUAUCUCGCAUACUUAUCGUGAAGGCAUCUGUGUAGUGGAUGCCCUUGCCCCAUCACAGGCACGUUCUUCCUUUUGGAUGCAGUUUCGACUUUCCCCUUCCUAUUUCGGUUGUCAACUGUAUUCAUGCGGACAUGAUAAAACUCUAAUAAACUCAAAAUAAAGCCCAGUAAACUCAAAAUAAAUCUCUUUUAAGAGAACCAAAUACUAUUCAUUCAAUAAUAAUUCAUGUUCUCCUUUAUAGAUAAAAUGUUUGGAUGCAAAUUUUUGAACUUUGGUUACACUAAUUUUUUUUCCCUAGCUUGCAAUUUGUCAAAGUUUAAAUUCACCAUUCCAUAGUUGAAUCUUUUGAAAACUUGAGAGUGCGAUGGUUUGACCUUGUAAUUUCGAAGCUCAAAUUUUUAAAUCAUUAAUAAUUAAUACCGAUGAUCGUGAGCUUAGGAUGAAACGAAAGCUUUCGAAUCCCAAACUCGAGAAGCGAGUAAAAGUUGAGGAUGCGGUCUCGAUGCAAAGAUAGCUCAAGAAGUAAAAAAGGGUCGAGGAUGCCAUCUCGAUGCACAUAUAAUGGUGGCAAGCAUAUUUACUUAGCUUGUGUUAAUUCAUUUUUCAUUGUAGUUGAACUUGAUACUUUUUCACAAAUUGAACUAUACAUACAACGCUAAUGUGUAUCAUUUAAUGCUUGGGCGGCUUUAUUGAGAAAUUGAAUGUUGGAUGUACUAUAAUUUCAUUUUAAUGUUUGGUGCAUUUUUCAACUGUUAGAUCUAACCUACUUACUUGAAACGCUGAGAUUUUAUUGGAUCCGAUGAAAUAGAUGUGUUCCUUGAACGGGAUUCGAACUCCGUUGCCGCUCCCAGUAACAGAUAACACAGCAGAGCAGGGGUCUAUCCUAAUUGAAAACUUUUUGCCGCCUCCCAAUAUCCAUUUCUUCCUUCCAUGGCUUCUCUAUCUUCGCUUGCUUCAACCAGCACCUUCCUCGCUGAACCUCAUCUACACAAACUCCCCUCUUCUGCUCAUCUCCCCCCAGAAAAGGUAGUAUCUGCUCCAUCAUUUCUCUUCAUAGUUCGCGGCAGUUUUUCGUUUUUAAUUUUCUUUUCCAUGUAAUUUUAAUGACUGACCUCUGAGCUUCUUUCCAGAGAAAUCAAGUAAACACUCAGUUGGUUGGAGCUUCCGGACAGAAAUUAUCUUACAGCCUCAAGGAAGCGCUUUCUUCCAUAAGAAAUGGUGCCACGUUUGAGCCCGAGUUUUAUCCUCCUCUUUUACAGCAUUGCCUUGAUGUGAAAUCGGCCUCGCAAGCGAAAAUCCUUCAUGGCCACAUGAUCAAGACUAGAAACCACGAGGAAACCUUCUUGGCGAUGAGCCUCCUCGGCGUUUACGCAAAAUGCGGCGAUAUGGAAAGUGCUCGCCAAGUGUUUGACGAUUUGCCUACAAAGAAUGAUACUGCCUGGAGUGUACUGAUGAAGACUUACGUCCAGAGCUCGAUGCCGGAGGUAGCUGUUGAAGUUUUCCAAGAGCUGUUGGAAAGUGGUUCACUUCCUUCAACUUUCACUUUGACCAUCGCUCUGAAUGCUUGCUAUUCCUUGAACUCGUUGGAUUUAGGGACCCAAUUUCACGCAUUCAUUAUCAAGUAUAGGAUGGAACACGACACUAGCGUUGGAAACGCGCUCUGUACUUUCUACUCCAGAUCUGGCAAGUUGCAUUCUGCCAUUAAGGCCUUCCGGAGGAUCGAAUACAAAGAUGUCAUCUCAUGGAGUUCAGUUAUUACUUCCUGUGAUAACAAUGGUGAUGCGGAAAGUGGGUUGAGAUUUUUUGCGGAAAUGCGCGAGGAAGAUGUGGAACCGAACGAAUUCACAUUCACUGCUGUGUUGAGCCUGUGCAGUGUCCUGCUGGAUUUGGACUUAGGGUCUCAGGUUCAUUCCCUGAUUGUCAAGCUUGGCCUUUUGUCCAAUCUGAAUAUAGUUCUUUUGAUUAUGAAUCUCUACAGGAAAUCCGGAUGGAUCGACGAGGCACAAACUCUUUUCAACACAUUGGAAUCUGUGAGCUUGGUUACUUGGAGUGCAGUCAUCGCAGGCUAUGCAGAAACAGUUAAUGUGGCAAAGGAUGAACUUAUAGCUCAUAGGUGCGGAACCGAGGCGUUGAGAAACUACUUGAAUCUGUGUCGUUUGGGUUUGAAGCCUAAUGAAUACACCUUGUCGAGCAUCUUUACCGUAUGUGGCAAGCUUCUGGCAUCGGAACAAGGUGAACAAAUUCAUGCUCAGACUAUAAAGUCGGGUUUUUUGUCAAAUGUGAUUGUGGGAACUGCAGUAGUGAAUAUGUAUAACAAAUGUGGAAGCAUUGAGGAAGCAAGUAAAGCCUUCCUGGAGAUGUCUUCCAGGACUGUGGUAUCUUGGACAACCAUGAUUUCAAGCUUUGCACAGCUCGGCCGGUCUCAACAAGCCCUGCAACUCUUCGAAGACAUGAGGCUAGCUGGAGUUAAACCGAACUAUAUCACGUUUAUGGGUGCCCUCGCUGCUUGCAGCCAUACUGGGAUGGUUGACGAGGCAUUGAGCUACUUUCAGAUGAUGCGAAAACAAUACAGAAUCAAGCCUGCAAUGGGCCACUACGGAUAUAUGGUCGAUUUGUAUGUGCGAUUAGGUAAGCUCGACGAGGCUUAUAAAGUCAUCAAGAAGAUGGAGUUCCCGCCGAAUCAGUUCAUUCGACUGCUGUUGAUUUCUGGAUGUAAGAAUCAGUCAAAUGAAGAAAUGGGAUUUCAUGUUGCUGAGCAACUGCUGAAACUGAAGCCAGACGAUUUCCUCGUUAAAUCUGUCUUGUUAAAUAUGUAUAGAGCCGCUGAGCGCUGGGAAGAUGUUUCAAGACUCGAAGAAGAAGCGACGGAAGAGGAGAAAAUAGAAAGAAGGGUGGAAGAUUGGAGCUGGAUUAGCAUUAAAGAUAAGGUUCGGUCUUUCAAGACAGGGGUCCAAUCGGCCCCUGAAGAUAUAGAGACUUCAAGUUUGUUGGAAGAACUGCUAGUGAAAGCAAAGAGCCAUGGGUACGAGUCACAACAAGCUUUGGAGGGGAAUGAUGAAGAAAACACGGACUCUUGUGGUCAUCACAGUGAGAAGUUGGCUGUGACGUUUGGGUUGCUGAAUACCCAAACUGGUUCGGCCGUACGCAUCAGCAAGACUACAACAAUGUGUAGAGACUGCCAUAACUUCAUAAAGGUGGUCUCACUUAUGAGUAGUAGGGAAAUCAUCGUGAGAGAUAGAUGGCUCAUUCACAGAUUUGUUGAUGGACAGUGCUCUUGUGCUGAGUUCCCUGGCCUGCUAUGAACAGAUGGAAGAUCCCAGUAAUUUUCAUAACUGCCCCUCCCUGGAAAAGGUAUCUCACAUUUCUCUGUCAGUUGGACCUGUGCAAAAAUAACAGAGGGAAAGGGGACAGUGGUGGCAAAAUCUCCAGUAAAACAAGUAAAGAGGUUUCAGGUUUGGAUGUUAUCUAACUGAGCAUUAGCAAACAGUCCUGUUAACUGAAAGACGAGGGGGGUUGCAAAUGUCACAGGAGUCGAGCAGAAGACAGAAAUGCAGGAAUAUGUGUACUUCGACAGUCUAAUUCAUGCGAUUUCGCAACGAAUAUUAUUGAUUUGGCAACUAUUUCCAACUGACUGGAUGUGAUUAACUGUUCUAGAUAACAGAGUGACAUUUACCUCCGUGUCUAGCUCGGUAGCUACUACGUUAUAGGGAUUUGUAGUCUAAUAAGGAAGCUAUAGUUAUUUACGUCUCUAACUUGAACUUAGUCUGGCAUGUAAAUGUAAUCAGACCUCUGUAACCCUACUAAUUCAACGAGAAAACUGAUCUGGCUGUAUCAUGUAAAUAUGUUGCAGGUAUGAAUACCAAAUUUGAAGUCUGUGUUGCCAUAGAUCAAUCAAAAUAUUGGGAGUCAAAACCUGAUUUGUCUAAAUGAACUGCAUAAGGAAAUUACAAUUGAGAAGGAAUCUUCUGUCAAGUGAUGAAGUAUAUCAAAAUUUGUAGAUGUCUACAUAGGCAAAUGAAACUCGUUCAAAUCGAGGCUCUAAAAUCCAGUUCCAACUAAUCUGCAAAAAAAAAAAAAAAAAGUUAUAAAUCAACAACGCAGCAUGUUGCUAUUCUCUUGAGAAUGGGUUGGCUGGCAAUGGCAGAGUAUGUUAAGAGGGUCACUGUAAGUUGACGUAGGCAGCCAAGUCAACUUCAACCAGAUCUGAGAAUUAAAUCAUUUACAGCUGCAGCUGCCAAAUCAAUUUUGUAAUGCUCUGGAAUCAUAAUAUAUUAUUAUAGAAUAGAAGGAUUUCAGAAUAUCCAAGCAAAGGAUUCGAAUCCUACUUGGAAGAACAUGACAACUUGCCUUCUCAACGUGACACACACACAUCCCCAUCUCAACAAACUGACACCAAAUGCCGUUAGUUUUUUUAUCAUUUUACUGCAUGUUGCAGCUGCCUAUCAUUACUGGCAAUUAUCAUAGUAUUAGUAUAAUGUACUCUUCCUUAAAGUACACAACUAAACUGAUGAUGUCCAACUUGAUAAGAUUCCACGCAGACAUUUGGGUCAACCCACGUACAAAAUAAAAGCAAAUAGUUUCUCUAUCAGAGCACAUGUAAUUGAAAUUAUGACCAGGAAUCCCUUUCACAUACAUACCAUGCGGCAUCUUUGUAACGCUGCAGUUAGGUAAAUCUCUAAGAUGCCGACCUUCAGUCUGGGUACUUGCUUAAGCAGACCAAUGGAUUUCGAAAUUCAAUCAGAGAAAGAUCUUCACUAAUAUCAGAUCUCACUUAAAAUUUGGCCAAAUCCCUUCCCUUAAUAUUAUUGCAAGAGUAAAUCAAUAUCAUUACACCAAUACAAAAAUGUCAACAAACAAAUUAUUAUCAAACUAUCAACAAAAUCGAAAAUUUACUCUCAAGAAGCUUGCGCUUGCGCUUGAGCUUGAGCUUGUGCUUGAGCGACUUUAACAUUGGCAGCUACAGCUACAACUUUAACGUCCUGAUUACCGGCUGCAGCACCUUGCCUAGUUGUGUCCAUGGCCUGCUGAUAAGGUGUAGUAGUAGUAGUGAAAUAAACCUGUCUUCCUGCACUAUCAUAACCCACUUGCAUAUACCCAUAUUGCUGCUCCGCCACCAUUCCCAUUUUCUGCUGCUGAACUACUCCCAUUCCCGCCUGCUGCUGCUGCUGCUGUUGAAUGGAAGCAUUAUACGCCGGUGGCUGUUCCCUGUAAACCUCUUGCACCACUCUCUGCACUCCAUGGUAAUAACCACCUCCUAUUUGCCCCGUCACCGGUGAUCUCAUCCCCUGAGUUUGGUACAUCCCUCCACCGGGGAUUAUAUAUACCUGCUGCUGCUCGUUUCCUCCCCCAGCAGGGUAUGGACCGCCGGCCCUCACACGUGCUGCCUGGACCGUNNNNNNNNNNNNNNNNNNNNNNNNNNNNNNNNNNNNNNNNNNNNNNNNNNNNNNNNNNNNNNNNNNNNNNNNNNNNNNNNNNNNNNNNNNNNNNNNNNNNNNNNNNNNNNNNNNNNNNNNNNNNNNNNNNNNNNNNNNNNNNNNNNNNNNNNNNNNNNNNNNNNNNNNNNNNNNNNNNNNNNNNNNNNNNNNNNNNNNNNNNNNNNNNAGCGCGACAGAGGCGAUCAUACUCCAUCAUCAUGUGCUCCAGAUCCUCAUCGUUGGUGACGGAGAUCAAGGCGUCAAGAUCCUCUCCGGGGAGCUGGUACUUGACGCAGAGGUCAGAGGAGUCAGAUCCGACGGCGGAGAGGGAGGAGAGCUUGGUGACGACGGCGGAGAAUUUGACGUUGCGGUCUAAGGAGAGGAUCUUAGUGUCGCCGCCAAUGUAGGCAAGCUGGUUGUCGUGGGGGCGGGGUUGGAUUUUGCCGCCGUAGCUGCACAUGAAUUUCACCUUGUAGUUAGAGGAAGGAGGCUCGUCCCAUGACUGAGUGUCGUCGAUCUCGCGGGAUCGUGGUGACGAGUCGCCCGAAUCCGGAUACGAAGAGUAGGAGUAGUUCUCCAUAGGAGGAUGAGGAUUUGAAUGAUGAUUGUAAUGUUUUCGUUAGGGUUUGAAGUGAAUUGGAGAAGAAGAAGCCAUGGAUCCAAGUGGAGGGGAUGGAGUGGGAAAUUGAAAGUGGGGGCCUUGAGUUGAUUUUAUAUUGAGAGAUUGGAUGAUGGAUGCGGAAGACUGAAAGGAAAGCCAACUGGAAGCUCAAAUGAUUCGAGUUGCAUACAAUGUCAAAAGAUCAUGAUCAAUGAUUUCAUCAAUUGCCGUAUCUAUCUCCUCUAAACACGGGUAUACCACAAAACUGAGCGACUAUACUUAAGAAUAGCCUUUUAAUGUGGCUUUCUUCUCCGGAAGGAACUAUCUUUUGAAUUGAAAAACGCUUUAGACUUCGUAAAUACGAAACUAUCUAAAUUGACUUAUUCGAAAAUUUCUUUUACGGUAUAUUUUUUUCUAAAACUCGGUAAUUUUUUGCCAGCUAGAUCGAAAUGCCGACCAAUAACACUACCCGGCUGGAGUCGGAUUCCGGCCUCCAGAUAGGGCCAGCCGGCCGACACUUGUUGGCAGCCGGAACCGCCCACCGGCUGGCCCUAUACAGCGGCCGGAAUAGGGCUCCGGCCAAAUAGUCUUAUUGGCCGAAAUUUCGGUCCGGCGGACAAUAUUUUAAUUUUUAACGAUCUUCGUUAAUGGUUAAUUAGAUAUUAUCAUUCGUCACAAGGAUUUAACACAUUUAAUAUCAUUUUGAUUCACACUAAAUUCAAAUUUCAAUAAAAUUUAUUUUAAAAACUAAUUUUCUCAUUCUCAUCCAAAUUUUAUUUCACAUUUCAUCCGACAAACCAAACCUAUUUAAAGUGUACUUCUUAUCUUAUGUAUUUUUUACCGAACACACAUUAACUACUUAGCAGAACACGAUGGAUGAAAGCUACCCCAUCUUAUCCCCUCAAACAUUAAGGAAGAGGAUGCAUAGAUAUUCAUAUGUUAGUGUCUAGUUUAUGGAGUGAGUUAGAUUUAAAUCCGAAAUUUUUGAAUCACAAAAUAUAUAAUUUUAUCACCAAAACAGUUUUAUUUAGACAUUAAAAAUUAGAGAUUAGGUUACAGUGAAAUUGAUUGGCCAAUUGGGAUAAUUAUAAUUUUUAAAAUUUUGGUCGGUUUAAAUUGUUAAAUAACCGGUUCGUAUUAGUGAUUAUUCAAACUAUAAUAUAUAAUUAUGUCUAAACUGACGUGACAGUGCCUACAUAAUAAAGUUGUCGUAGAAUCAACCUACAACGGUACAUAAGACCACCUCAUUAUGCAGAAAAAUAAAACAGGACAACUUUACAUCAUUUUGCAAGUACGGGGCUAAUCGAUAACCGAUCCAAAUUUACGAGACGAAUUGAGCAUUUGAGCCGUACUAAAAAACAG